GACCUAAUUGAGCUACCCAAGUCCGAACCCAAUUUUAUGAAAAUAUCUUAGAUCUGAAAUUCUCAAUUUUAGAUCUAACUUAAUUUCAUAAGCUUAAUUCAUUAAUUAAGUUUGGGUUCAUAAACAAAGCAUGUAAAAUAAAUCCUAGGGUUUCAGGAUCUAGGGUUUUGCAGAAAAGUAAGUUUUGAUUUUUGAUUAAGGAUGAAGUGCGGCACCCCUACACGUCAUAUGAACACCCCA
rnacentral:lncRNA from 1 species